UACGUAGGGUGCGAGCGUUGUCCGGAAUUAUUGGGCGUAAAGAGCUCGUAGGCGGUGUGUCACGUCGGCCGUGAAAACCUGCAGCUUAACUGUGGGCGUGCGGUCGAUACGGGCAUCACUGGAGUUCGGCAGGGGAGACUGGAAUUCCUGGUGUAGCGGUGAAAUGCGCAGAUAUCAGGAGGAACACCGGUGGCGAAGGCGGGUCUCUGGGCCGAUACUGACGCUGAGGAGCGAAAGCGUGGGUAGCGAACAGG
rnacentral:rRNA from 1 species